UCUUCGUCGUAUCUGCCUAUU
rnacentral:miRNA from 1 species